rnacentral:rRNA from 1 species
UACAGAGGCCUCGAGCGUUAGGCGGAAUCACUGGGCUUAAAGCGUGUGUAGGCGGAUCGUUAAGUACCUUGUGAAAUCCCACGGCUCAACCGUGGAACUGCUUGGUAUACUGGCGAUCUUGUGCCACCUAGGGGCGAGCGGAACAGAUGGUGGAGCGGUGAAAUGCGUAGAUAUCAUCUGGAACGCCAAUGGUGAAAAACAGCUCGCUGGGGGUGUG